UUAAUGUUGUUCCAAGGGUUCCAUACUCUGUUCCAGGUCCUCUCUCCUUGUGGCACAUAUAUGUUAACCAUAAACUGAUACACUGGAGAAUAGUUAUACAUGGAGGGAUUGAUGGGUUCAGUCUGCGCAUUAUGUUUCUUUGUGUAAACACAAACAAUCGGGCAUCAACUGUUCUCCAGUGUUUUCUCACUGCUGUUAAUCAGUAUGGUUUACCCCACCGUGUUAGAAGUGACAAGGGAAGAGAAAAUGUUGAGAUUGCCAGAGACAUGCUGGAACAUCCUGAAAGGGGCCCAUAGAGAAGAUGCCACAUCACUGGAAAGAGUGUCCACAACCAGAGAAUUGAGAGGCUGUGGCGUGACGUCUGAUGUAGUGUAGUUAGCAACUAUUACACUACCUUUAGGUAACUCGAAAACAAUGGGCUGCUCGAACCUGAUCAAGAUCUCCACAUCAUAUGCCUCCAUUUUGUCUUCCUGUCAAGACUGAAUUGGCAUCUAAAGGAGUUCAUCCAGAUGUGGGACAGGCAUCCACUUUCCACAGAGGGAAACCGGUCCCCAGACCAGUUGUGGAUUGCUGGUCUGCUUUUGGAGCAACAAGA